AUAGGUUAAUGAGGCGAACCGGGGGAACUGAAACAUCUAAGUACCCCGAGGAAAAGAAAUCAACCGAGAUUCCCCCAGUAGCGGCGAGCGAACGGGGAGCAGCCCAGAGCCUGAAUCAGUGUGUGUGUUAGUGGAAGCGUCUGGAAAGGCGUGCGAUACAGGGUGACAGCCCCGUACACAAAAAUGCACAUAUUGUGAGCUCGAUGAGUAGGGCGGGACACGUGGUAUCCUGUCUGAAUAUGGGGGGACCAUCCUCCAAGGCUAAAUACUCCUGACUGACCGAUAGUGAACCAGUACCGUGAGGGAAAGGCGAAAAGAACCCCGGCGAGGGGAGUGAAAAAGAACCUGAAACCGUGUACGUACAAGCAGUGGGAGCACGCUUAGGCGUGUGACUGCGUACCUUUUGUAUAAUGGGUCAGCGACUUAUAUUCUGUAGCAAGGUUAACCGAAUAGGGGAGCCGAAGGGAAACCGAGUCUUAACUGGGCGUUAAGUUGCAGGGUAUAGACCCGAAACCCGGUGAUCUAGCCAUGGGCAGGUUGAAGGUUGGGUAACACUAACUGGAGGACCGAACCGACUAAUGUUGAAAAAUUAGCGGAUGACUUGUGGCUGGGGGUGAAAGGCCAAUCAAACCGGGAGAUAGCUGGUUCUCCCCGAAAGCUAUUUAGGUAGCGCCUCGUGAAUUCAUCUCCGGGGGUAGAGCACUGUUUCGGCAAGGGGGUCAUCCCGACUUACCAACCCGAUGCAAACUGCGAAUACCGGAGAAUGUUAUCACGGGAGACACACGGCGGGUGCUAACGUCCGUCGUGAAGAGGGAAACAACCCAGACCGCCAGCUAAGGUCCCAAAGUCAUGGUUAAGUGGGAAACGAUGUGGGAAGGCCCAGACAGCCAGGAUGUUGGCUUAGAAGCAGCCAUCAUUUAAAGAAAGCGUAAUAGCUCACUGGUCGAGUCGGCCUGCGCGGAAGAUGUAACGGGGCUAAACCAUGCACCGAAGCUGCGGCAGCGACACUAUGUGUUGUUGGGUAGGGGAGCGUUCUGUAAGCCUGUGAAGGUGUACUGUGAGGUAUGCUGGAGGUAUCAGAAGUGCGAAUGCUGACAUAAGUAACGAUAAAGCGGGUGAAAAGCCCGCUCGCCGGAAGACCAAGGGUUCCUGUCCAACGUUAAUCGGGGCAGGGUGAGUCGACCCCUAAGGCGAGGCCGAAAGGCGUAGUCGAUGGGAAACAGGUUAAUAUUCCUGUACUUGGUGUUACUGCGAAGGGGGGACGGAGAAGGCUAUGUUGGCCGGGCGACGGUUGUCCCGGUUUAAGCGUGUAGGCUGGUUUUCCAGGCAAAUCCGGAAAACUAAGGCUGAGGCGUGAUGACGAGGCACUACGGUGCUGAAGCAACAAAUGCCCUGCUUCCAGGAAAAGCCUCUAAGCAUCAGGUAACAUCAAAUCGUACCCCAAACCGACACAGGUGGUCAGGUAGAGAAUACCAAGGCGCUUGAGAGAACUCGGGUGAAGGAACUAGGCAAAAUGGUGCCGUAACUUCGGGAGAAGGCACGCUGAUAUGUAGGUGAAGUCCCUCGCGGAUGGAGCUGAAAUCAGUCGAAGAUACCAGCUGGCUGCAACUGUUUAUUAAAAACACAGCACUGUGCAAACACGAAAGUGGACGUAUACGGUGUGACGCCUGCCCGGUGCCGGAAGGUUAAUUGAUGGGGUCAGCGCAAGCGAAGCUCUUGAUCGAAGCCCCGGUAAACGGCGGCCGUAACUAUAACGGUCCUAAGGUAGCGAAAUUCCUUGUCGGGUAAGUUCCGACCUGCACGAAUGGCGUAAUGAUGGCCAGGCUGUCUCCACCCGAGACUCAGUGAAAUUGAACUCGCUGUGAAGAUGCAGUGUACCCGCGGCAAGACGGAAAGACCCCGUGAACCUUUACUAUAGCUUGACACUGAACAUUGAGCCUUGAUGUGUAGGAUAGGUGGGAGGCUUUGAAGUGUGGACGCCAGUCUGCAUGGAGCCGACCUUGAAAUACCACCCUUUAAUGUUUGAUGUUCUAACGUUGACCCGUAAUCCGGGUUGCGGACAGUGUCUGGUGGGUAGUUUGACUGGGGCGGUCUCCUCCUAAAGAGUAACGGAGGAGCACGAAGGUUGGCUAAUCCUGGUCGGACAUCAGGAGGUUAGUGCAAUGGCAUAAGCCAGCUUGACUGCGAGCGUGACGGCGCGAGCAGGUGCGAAAGCAGGUCAUAGUGAUCCGGUGGUUCUGAAUGGAAGGGCCAUCGCUCAACGGAUAAAAGGUACUCCGGGGAUAACAGGCUGAUACCGCCCAAGAGUUCAUAUCGACGGCGGUGUUUGGCACCUCGAUGUCGGCUCAUCACAUCCUGGGGCUGAAGUAGGUCCCAAGGGUAUGGCUGUUCGCCAUUUAAAGUGGUACGCGAGCUGGGUUUAGAACGUCGUGAGACAGUUCGGUCCCUAUCUGCCGUGGGCGCUGGAGAACUGAGGGGGGCUGCUC
rnacentral:rRNA from 1 species